rnacentral:rRNA from 1 species
UUGCUGGGGUACACGAGUGGCGAACGGGUGAGUAACACGUGGGUGACCUGCCCUGCACUUCGGGAUAAGCCUGGGAAACUGGGUCUAAUACCGGAUAGGACCGCACCGUGAGGGUGUGGUGGAAAGUUUUUUCGGUGUGGGAUGGGCCCGCGGCCUAUCAGCUUGUUGGUGGGGUAAUGGCCUACCAAGGCGGCGACGGGUAGCCGGCCUGAGAGGGUGGACGGCCACAUUGGGACUGAGACACGGCCCAGACUCCUACGGGAGGCAGCAGUGGGGAAUAUUGCACAAUGGGCGGAAGCCUGAUGCAGCGACGCCGCGUGGGGGAUGACGGCCUUCGGGUUGUAAACUCCUUUCACCAUCGACGAAGGGUUUCUGACGGUAGAUGGAGAAGAAGCACCGGCUAACUACGUGCCAGCAGCCGCGGUAAUACGUAGGGUGCGAGCGUUGUCCGGAAUUACUGGGCGUAAAGAGCUCGUAGGUGGUUUGUCGCGUCGUCUGUGAAAUUCCGGGGCUUAACUCCGGGCGUGCAGGCGAUACGGGCAUAACUUGAGUACUGUAGGGGAGACUGGAAUUCCUGGUGUAGCGGUGAAAUGCGCAGAUAUCAGGAGGAACACCGGUGGCGAAGGCGGGUCUCUGGGCAGUAACUGACGCUGAGGAGCGAAAGCAUGGGGAGCGAACAGGAUUAGAUACCCUGGUAGUCCAUGCCGUAAACGGUGGGCGCUAGGUGUGGGUUUCCUUCCACGGGAUCCGUGCCGUAGCUAACGCAUUAAGCGCCCCGCCUGGGGAGUACGGCCGCAAGGCUAAAACUCAAAGGAAUUGACGGGGGCCCGCACAAGCGGCGGAGCAUGUGGAUUAAUUCGAUGCAACGCGAAGAACCUUACCUGGGCUUGACAUAUACAGGAUCGCGCCAGAGAUGGUGUUUCCCUUGUGGCUUGUAUACAGGUGGUGCAUGGUUGUCGUCAGCUCGUGUCGUGAGAUGUUGGGUUAAGUCCCGCAACGAGCGCAACCCUUGUCUUAUGUUGCCAGCACGUUGUGGUGGGGACUCGUAAGAAACUGCCGGGGUUAACUCGGAGGAAGGUGGGGAUGACGUCAAAUCAUCAUGCCCCUUAUGUCCAGGGCUUCACACAUGCUACAAUGGUCGGUACAGUGGGUUGCCAGUCCGUGAGGGCGAGCUAAUCCCGCAAAGCCGGUCUCAGUUCGGAUCGGGGUCUGCAACUCGACCCCGUGAAGUCGGANUCGCUAGUAAUCGCAGAUCAGCAACGCUGCGGUGAAUACGUUCCCGGGCCUUGUACACACCGCCCGUCACGUCAUGAAAGUCGGUAACACCCGAAGCCAGUGGCCUAACAC